UACGAAGGGGGCUAGCGUUGUUCGGAAUUACUGGGCGUAAAGCGCGUGUAGGCGGGUCUUUAAGUCAGGGGUGAAAUGCCAGGGCUCAACCUUGGAACUGCCUUUGAUACUGGAGACCUUGAGUCCGGGAGAGGUGAGUGGAAUUGCGAGUGUAGAGGUGAAAUUCGUAGAUAUUCGGAAGAACACCAGUGGCGAAGGCGGCUCACUGGACUGGUAUUGACGCUGAGGUGCGAAAGCGUGGGGAGCAAACAGGG
rnacentral:rRNA from 1 species